rnacentral:rRNA from 1 species
AGAGUUUGAUCCUGGCUCAGGAUGAACGCUGGCGGCAUGGAUAAGGCAUGCAAGUCGAGGGGGUUUAGGCCCCCGGCAAACGGGUUAGUAAUACAUAGGAACGUACCCUCUAGUCGUGAAUAAUUUGCCGAAAGGCAAGCUAAUACACGAUAUGCUCUACGGAGUAAAGAUUUAUCGCUAGAGGAGCGGCCUGUGUCCUAUCAGCUAGUUGGUGGGGUAAUGGCCUACCAAGGCAAUGACGGGUAGGGGGUGUGAGAGCAUGGCCCCCAACAUUGGAACUGAGACACUGUCCAAACUCCUACGGGAGGCUGCAGUCGAGAAUAUUUGUCAAUGGGCGAAAGCCUGAACAAGCGAUGCCGCGUGUGGGAUGAAGGCCCUUGGGUCGUAAACCACUUUUGUUAUAGAAAAACUUACGUGAUGGUAUAUAGCGAAUAAGAGGUUACUAACUCUGUGCCAGCAGUAGCGGUAAUACAGAGACCUCAAGCGUUAUCCGGAUUUAUUGGGCGUAAAGAGCAGGUAGGUGGAAAUAUUAGUCAGAUGUCAAAUCCUUCGACUCAAUCGAAGAACUGCAUUUGAAACGGUAUUUCUAGAGGGAGUGAGAGAUUACUGGAACUUAUGGUGUAGCAGUGAAAUGCGUUGAUAUCAUGAGGAACACCAAAGGCGAAGGCAUGUAAUUGGCACUCUCCUGACACUGAUCUGCGAAAGCGUGGGUAGCGAAUGGGAUUAGAUACCCCAGUAGUCCACGCCCUAAACGUUGCACACUAGGCAUGCGGGGAUUCGACCCCUCUCGUGUCGUAGCUAACGCGCUAAGUGUGCCGCCCGGGAAGUACGAGCGCAAGCUUAAAACUCAAAGGAAUAGACGGGGAUCCGCACAAGCGGUGGAUCAUGUGGUUCAAUUCGACGGUAAGCGAGAAACCUCACCAGGGUUUGAAAUCCAGCUGCACGCUCCAGAAAUGGAGAAGCUUUCGAAGGUGCUGGACAGGCGCUGCAUGGUUGUCGUCAGCUCGUGCCGUAAGGUGUUCCGUUAAGUCGGGAAACGAGCGCAACCCCUUUCGUGUGCUAUUAUGUCACACGAUACUGCCCCGCACAGAGUUCAUGAAGAUGUUUCGUGGAUUGUGUGUGGGGAGGAAGGAGGGGAUGACGUCAAAUCAGCAUGGCCCUCUGACACCCUGGGCGACACACGUGAUACAAUGGCCGGUACAAAGGGUUGCCAAACCGCGGGGUGGAGCCAAUCCCAAAAAACCGGUCCCAGUUCGGACUGGAGUCUGCAACUCGACUCCACGAAGCCGGAAUCGCUAGUAAUCGGGAAUCAGCACGUCCCGGUGAAUACGUUCUCGGAUCUUGUACUCACCGCCCGUCACACCAGGAGAGUCGGUAAUACCUGAAGGUCCUGUAUCAAAACGGGGACUACGGUAGGAUCGAUAAUAAGGGUGAAGUCGUAACAAGGUA